UACGUAUGUCGCAAGCGUUAUCCGGAAUUAUUGGGCAUAAAGGGCAUCUAGGCGGCCAGAUAAGUCUGGGGUGAAAACUUGCGGCUCAACCGCAAGCCUGCCCUGGAAACUAUGUGGCUAGAGUACUGGAGAGGUGGACGGAACUGCACGAGUAGAGGUGAAAUUCGUAGAUAUGUGCAGGAAUGCCGAUGAUGAAGAUAGUUCACUGGACAGUAACUGACGCUGAAGUGCGAAAGCUAGGGGAGCAAACAGG
rnacentral:rRNA from 1 species